UACGGGGGGAGCUAGCGUUGUUCGGAAUCACUGGGCGUAAAGCGCACGUAGGCGGAUGUGUCAGUCAGGGGUGAAAUCCCGGAGCUCAACUUCGGAACUGCCUUUGAUACAGCACAUCUGGAGUCCGGAAGAGGUGGGUGGAAUUCCUAGUGUAGAGGUGAAAUUCGUAGAUAUUAGGAAGAACACCGGUGGCGAAGGCGGCCCACUGGUCCGGUACUGACGCUGAGGUGCGAAAGCGUGGGGAGCAAACAGG
rnacentral:rRNA from 1 species